rnacentral:rRNA from 1 species
GACGUAGGAGGCGAGCGUUGUCCGGAUUCAUUGGGCGUAAAGAGCGCGCAGGCGGCUUGGUAAGUCGGAUGUGAAGAUCCCGAGGCUCAACCUCGGGUCUGCAUCCGAUACUGCCCGGCUAGAGGUAGGUAGGGGAGACUGGAAUUCCUGGUGUAGCGGCGAAAUGCGCAGAUAUCAGGAGGAACACCGGUGGCGAAGGCGGGUCUCUGGGCCGAUACUGACGCUGGAGGAGCGAAAGCGUGGGGAGCGAACAGG